AUUGAACGCUGGCGGCAGGCCUAACACAUGCAAGUCGAACGGUAACAGGCAGAAGCUUGCUUCUUUGCUGACGAGUGGCGGACGGGUGAGUCAUGUCUGGGCAACUGCCUGAUGUAGGGGGAUAACUACUGGAAACGGUAGCUAAUACCGCAUAACGUCGCAAGAACAAAGAGGGGGGCCUUCGGGCCUCUUGCCAUCGGGUGCGCCCAGAUGGUCAUAGCUAGUAGGGGGGGUUACGUCUCACCUAGUCGACGAUCUCUACCUCGUGUGAGAGGAUGAUCGGCGACACUGGAACGUGGCCACGCUCAAGGGGCCUACGGGAGGCAGCAGACGGCAAUAUGGGGCAAUGGGCGCAAGCCUGAUGCAGCGAUCGCGAGUGUAUGAAGACGGCCCUCGGGGUGGAAAGUACUCUUAGCGGGGGGAAAGGGAGUAAACUUAAUACGUAGCCUGAGUGACGUUAAUCGGAGAAGAAGCACCGGCUAACUCCGUG
rnacentral:rRNA from 1 species